CUCUGGAGCUCAGCAUUUUGUGAUGGCAAAAUGUUGAGAUCCAGAGGCAACAUGUUAUGAUGAUGCCACCACCAUGCUUCCAAAUCCGUCAAGGUCACUUCCAUCAUUCCAACUGAAGACCAGGAAAUGUUGAAAAUUUGACCCUAAACGUUUCAGUAAAUCAACAAAAGAGCAACUUAAAACCAUCUGAGCUCCAGAACCCACUCCAAAAGACAUGAUUUAUCAAUGGUAAAUACAGAAAGAAUCAUCAGAUACUCAGCUUUCCGGGAGUCCUUGUUGUGCAAGGUACAUCUGAAAAUUUAAAUUCUAGCUUAAAAUAGCGAAAUUUCAUCACAGUCACUGUUUUCUACACGGUUUAAUUGUUUGCUUCUUGAAUCUUAGAAGGUCUUUAUUCUGAAUUUAUUCUCCAUUUUCUACAUAUUUAGUACCAAAUUACACUUAUUCAAAAAAAACGUAUGAAAUAAUUGUAAAAGUUCAGAUUGCUAAAUAAAGAUUAGCUACACAUUUUAUUUCAGAUUUCACUGCAGAAACAGUUGAAUUUGUGUUAGCAUUUGAAAAAAGCUGUUUUUAAUUUAGCGGUUUGGAAUAGCAACUAAACUAGCUUAGUUCAGGAUUGCUAACAGGUCUGUUUAGCAGCUAAAAUGUUACCCGUGAUGUUAAAUAAUCAGAAUCAUGAUGGGAGCUAACAUAGGCUAGGUCUUUAGAUUAACUAACACUACAGUUUAGUAGCUAAAAGAGCUUUGUUGAUUUUAAUGCUAGUUUUGUUCAAGUUAGCUACCUUUCAAAACUGAGAUUCUUUGGUUAGCUAAGGCUAGCCGCCAAAGUCUUGUUUAGUUUGGUUAGGAGGCCUGUGUAGAAGCUAAAAUCUGUUAGCUAACUUUACAAUUCAGCUGAGCAGCUAAUAUUGUUUGGUCCGGUGAGCUAAGAGACGUGCUUAGAAGCUACAACGUUUUAGUUCAUUUUAAUAAAGGCUUCGGUAUAGCAGCUAAAAUUGUAUUUUUCAGUUCAGUUAACAGCACGGUUUGGCAGCUAAACAAAUUUCUUUAAUUUGCUUUGUUUUGCAAUUUUUGCUCAAGUUUUGCUCAUAUGAAAGUAGCUAAAGUUUUGCAGCUAAAUUUGAUAAGCUAACAGGACACAGCAGCAGAAAUGUUCUUUUGACAGCUAGCUGCUAAAAUAACUCUGCUGAUUUUAGCUAAUGGUGCAGUUUAGCAGGCAGAAGUCCGAUUGACCUCAUAAAUACAUGUUCAGGUUAGCCAACAGUUCAUUUUCAAAGCUAAAACUGUUUAGUUCAGCCUAACAGGUAUAGUUAGCUGUUAACUAAGAGUUUUGUUCAGCAGCUAAGACGUUUUGUUUUGACUAGCUAGCAGGUUAGUUUAGCUGGAAACAGUUUGCUUGGUUCAGUUUAGCAGAUAAAACUGUUUAUAUCAUUUUAGCUAACAGUUUAGCAAAUAGCUCAGUUUAAUUGAAGUUAACAGUUUAGUUUAGUCGACAGAACAGUUUUCCUGGUUUAGUUCAACCAGUCGAGUUGUGGUUAGCUAACAGUUGGCCGAUGCAAUGAUUGAACUAAUAUUUCGGUUAAACUCGGUUCUUGAACAGUUUAGUUUCAGGAGAACUUUUCUUGGUGGUUCUAGAAACAGUUUAGUUUUAGCUAACUGUUCUUUGUUGUUCUUCUAAAUGACUAACAGUUUAUUUUAGCUUAAAUCUGGAGACACAAAAUCUUCUCACAUUUGAUAUUUUCCUUAAUUUUAAACACAGAUCUGGGCGUAUGAGCUGAGUUCUAACCAUCCAUGGAGCGUUUUGGUGUCUAAGUGUGUCGCCUCCUCCAGCUUUUAUUUCACGGCUGCCCUCGGCCUCAAUGGGGUGUCAGCCGCAGAAAGUCCUGAUCGCUCGCCGGGAUUCAGCCGCCGUCCGGCCGCUGACAGCUUCCAGAAGGACCACACACGACCACGUCCUCCCGCCCAAUCGCUCUGCUGCCGGCCUUUUUGUGGAGCUUCGCUUUUCUCUCGCAGCUUUUCACCCUCGAGGACUUCCAAACAGAUUUCAAGCCUGAGUGUUGGAGCUGUCGAGAGCCGGACGAUGAAAACUUUUCAUUCUGUCAGAAACAUUAGAAAGGUUCAGGGUUUUAUUAGCUCCAGAGGCUAGGUUAAAGCAGCUGUACAUAAACUAAAUGUAAAUUUUAAAAAAAUAGAAGAAAAAUAAACAGUAAUAUAAAUAAAUUGUAAAUAAAUUCACCAACAAUACAUGCUUAAAACCAAGAAAUAUAUAGAAUUCUGAAGGACUUUAAAAAUAAAAAAUGCCACAACAAUCCGUAAAACUCUGUUUUUCUGAGACUGUUAAAUAAUUGGGUUAAUUAGUAUUUUUUCUAAUAUAUAAAGUCUUAAUCCUAUUAUUUAAAUCACAGAUAAAUUUACAUAAUAUUGUAGGGAUAAUAUUUCAAUUAGGUUGGGAAAUGUACAUAAUAUUAUAGCUUCUUAGACAUAAUAUUUAAAUGACUUAAAUUUACAUUAGUUAUGUUGUAGGGUCUUUAAAUUAGACUAAUUUGCAUAAAUUGUAAAAUUGUAGGGUCUGAACAUUUAUAUUUCAAUCAUGUAAAUUUACAGAAUAAUGUUGUAAAAUAUUUUAAUGAUAUUGUGUUUUUUUAGACAUAUUUAAAUGAGCUCAAUCCACCCAAUUAGUGAUGUUGUAGGGUCUUUCCUUUAAUAUUUAAAUUAGCUAAAUUUGCAUAAUUAAUAAUAUUGCCAGGUCUUCACUUUAACAUUUCAGUUAGUCCGGUGAAUUAACAUAAUAUUGUAGUUUCUUAGACAUUUUAUUUAAAUUAGAUCAAUUUCCAUAAUUAGUGAUAUUGUAGGGCCUUAACUUUAAUAUUUAAAUUAAAUAAAUUUGCAUAAUUAAUAUCAUACAGAUCAUGACCUUUAUAUUUACAUUAGUCUGAAUAAUUUACAUAAUAAAAUUGUAAAAUACUAUCAUGAUAUUUUGGUUUCUUAGACAUUACAUCUAAAGAUCAAUUUACAGAAUUUGUGACAUUGUAAUACCUUAUUUUUAAUAUUUAAAUUAGAUACAUUGGCAUAAUUAAUACAGGUGUAGUAGUAGUUAAUUUUAAUAUUUCAAUUAGUCCGGUAAAUUUACAUAUUAAUAUUAUGGUUUCUUAGACAUAUUAAAUGAGAUAAAUUUACAGAAAUAGAGAGAUUGUAGGGUCUUUAAAUUAGACAAAUUUGCAUAAAUUAUAAUAUUGUAGGGUCUUAACAUUAAUGUUUAAAUUAGUCGUGUAAAUUUACAGAAUACUGUAAAAUAUUUUAGUGAUUUUUUAAGCAUUAUUUUUAAAGGACCUAAAUUCACCCAAUUAGUGAUGUUGUAGGGUCUUAAUUUUAAUAUUUAAAUUAGAUAACUUUGCAUAAUUAAUCAUAUUCAUAGGGUCCUAACUUUAACAUUUCAAUUAGUCCAGUAAAUUUACAUAAAUUAUAUUGUCUGAGUUCACAGAUCCACGUAGAAAUCAGCUGAUUUUCUCCUCAGUGCAGUUCUUCCUCUAACCAGAGAGUCGCCCCCUGGUGGCCGGCAGACAGAACGCAGCUUUAAGGUUGAUUUUAGUCUUUUCCAUUAAUGUUUCCCAACAAAUCUGACUAAAACAGGUGUGGAAGCUCAGCUGGAGUUUUUAUUCUGGAGCACAAAGAUGUAGAAAAACAUCCAGACUAACCGAAAGAUGAAGUUUUAAAUUAAAACCGAACAUCGGAGUGAUCAGAAUGACAGAUUUAAUUAGAUGUUUCCAAACUGUCAUGUUUAGGUAGAUGGAAAACAGAGUUCACUAAAAGGUGGUUCCAAGAGGCAAAGUUUCAUUUCCUGUCUUGUUUUUACUGAUUUCUGUUAUUUUCUGUCACCUCAUUUUCCGUCGCUGCUUUCAUUCAUUUUAUUUCAUCAUUUUUCAUGGUGUCUGGUCCCUGUUUCUUGUUAUCUUCUGUCAUUUUCAGUCAUCGUUUUGUUUUGUGCUGUUUUCUGUGAAUUUUAAUUUGUUUUCUGUCACUAAUUUGUUGUUUUCAGUUGCUGUUUUGUCAUUUUCUGUCACUGUUUUCUGUAGUUGUCAGUUGUUUUGUGUUGGGUUUUUUGUUUUGUGUCAUCUUCUGUCAUUAAUUUGUUGUUUUCCGUCACUGUCUGGUUUCACUUCCUGUUGUUUUUGUUGCUGUUUUUCUCUCAUUUUCAGUCGUUUUGCAUUGCAGUUUUUUGUUGUUUUUUUGUUGUUUUUAUUGUCUGUCACUGUUUUCAGUCGCUGUUUUUGUCCUUGUCUGUUGUCCUUUUCUGUCGUCGUUUUCUGUGGUUUUCAGCCACUGUUUGAUGUCCCUUCCUGUUGUUUUUUGUGUUUUGUGUCAUCGUCUGUCAUUAAUUUGCAGUUUUCAGUCGCUGUUUUGUGUCGUUCUGUGCGGUUUACUGUCAUUUGUUUUGUGUUAUUGCAGUUUUCUGUGGUUUUGCGCUAUUUUGUCCUUUUUUUGUCGUCGUUUUCAGUGGUUUUUAGGCUGAUGUCACUUCCUGUUGUUUUUGGUCGCUGUUUUUCUGUCAUUUUCAGUCUAUUUCCACGUAAAUAAACCCGAUUCUAGA